rnacentral:lncRNA from 10 species
AGACCGGAGCUGUUCCUAUUCAGCCAUCUUGGCUCCUCCCCUGACUGAUGUCCUCCUUAUAGGAAUGGGAAAUUCAGAUGCAGACAGGUGCUGAAGACCAUGUGAAGGCACAGGGAGGAGGUGGCCAUCUGCAAGCCAAGGAGAGAAGCCUCAGAAGAAACCAACCCUGCCAACACCGUGACCUCAGACUCCAGCCCCCAGAACUAUUCCAUAGAAUGUUCCCUGUUUCUUCAUCUAUGACAUGGGGAUAAUGUGAGUAUACCUACAUCAGAGGGCUGCGAUGAAGACUAAAUAAGCUCCUGCCAUCAAAAGUUGGAGUCUGUUUCCCCACGCCUUGAAUCUGGGCUGGCUCUAUGAUCCACUUUGGACAACAGAAUUUGGUGGAAGUGAUGCUAUGCCAAUGCUGAGGUGAGGCCUCAAGAGGCCUUGUGGGCUGUGACUCUUUUGGAACGCUGCCUAGCUGUCACGUGAACAAGGCUACUGCAUGAUGAGAGACCAUAUGGAGCCAAAACAUGCCUUUCCAGCUGAGGCCCUCCUAGUCCAGCCAGCCCUAGAUGCACAAGCUGGUGACCAAAGAUACAUGAGUGAGUCCAGAUGAGAAGUCCCUCGUUGAGCCCAGCCCAAUUGCUGAUCCACUGACUUGUGAGAUGGUAAACCUGAGAUCCAGCAGGUUCAAGGUGCCCACCCAGGAUCACUGAGCUAGA